CCUGUGGAGCGUCAUAAAAAACGCAAGUAGUGUCGACAAAAAGUCGGACGCGCUGAAAGCAGGAA
rnacentral:sRNA from 12 species